UACGAAGGGGGCUAGCGUUGUUCGGAUUUACUGGGCGUAAAGCGCAUGUAGGCGGGUCGUUAAGUUGGGGGUGAAAUCCCGAGGCUCAACCACGGAACUGCCUUCAAAACUGGCGACCUGGACUCAAGUAGAGGCAAGUGGAAUUGCGAGUGUAGAGGUGAAAUUCGUAGAUAUUCGCAGGAACACCAGUGGCGAAGGCGACUUGCUGGACUUGUAGUGACGCUGAGACGCGAAAGCGUGGGGAGCAAACAGG
rnacentral:rRNA from 1 species